CCUACGGGUGGCACCAGUGGGGAAUAUUGCACAAUGGGCGCAAGCCUGAUGCAGCCAUGCCGCGUGUAUGAAGAAAGCCUUCGGGUUGUAAGUACUUUCAGCGGGGAGGAAGGUGUUGUGGUUAAUAACCGCAGCAAUUGACGUUACCCGCAGAAGAAGCACCGGCCAACUCCGUGCCAGCAGCCGCGGUAAUACGGAGGGUGCAGGCGUUAAUCGGAAUUACUGGGCGUAAAGCGCACGCAGGCGGUCUGUCAAGCCGGAUGUGAAAUCCCCGGGCUCAACCUGGGAACUGCAUUCGAAACUGGCAGGCUAGAGUCUUGUAGAGGGGGGUAGAAUUCCAGGUGUAGCGGUGAAAAGCGUAGAGAUCUGGAGGAAUACCGGUGGCGAAGGCGGCCCCCUGGACAAAGACUGACGCUCAGGUGCGAAAGCGUGGGGAGCAGACAGGAUUAGAUACCCGGGUAGUC
rnacentral:rRNA from 1 species